CGCGGGGUGGAGCAGCUUGGUAGCUCGUCGGGCUCAUAACCCGAAGGUCGUCGGUUCAAAUCCGACCCCCGCAACCA
rnacentral:tRNA from 20 species